GGAUCGCUCUGCGGCUUAUCAGGUCGUAGUGGGUGUAACGUACCCCCUAGCCGACGACGAGUAUGGGCCUUGAGAGAGGGAGCCCAGAGUUGGAUUCUGAGACACGAAUCCAGGCCCUACGGGGCGCAGCAGUCGCGAAAACUUCACACUGGGGGCAACCCCGAUGAGGGAAUUCCUAGUGCCAGGGCCUCUGGUCCUGGCUUUUCUCCGGCGUAGACGACCGGAGGAAUAAGGGCUGGGUAAGACGGGUGCCAGCCGCCGCGGUAAUACCUGCAGCCCGAGUGGUGGUCGAUUUUAUUGAGUCUAAAACGUUCGUAGCCGGCCCGGUAAAUCCCUGGGUAAAUCGGGAAGCUCAACUUCCCGAAUUCCGGGGAGACUGCCGGGCUUGGGACCGGGAGAGGCUAGAGGUACUUCUGGGGUAGGGGUAAAAUCCUGUAAUCCUGGAAGGACCACCGGUGGCGAAGGCGUCUAGCUAGAACGGAUCCGACGGUGAGGGACGAAGCCCUGGGUCGCAAACGGGAUUAGAUACCCCGGUAGUCCAGGGUGUAAACGCUGCAGACUUGGUGUUGGGGGCCCUUCGGGGGCGUCCAGUGCCGGAGAGAAGUUGUUAAGUCUGCUACUUGGGGAGUACGUCCGCAAGGAUGAAACUUAA
rnacentral:rRNA from 1 species